UGGGGAAUAUUGGACAAUGGGGGGAACCCUGAUCCAGCCAUGCCGCGUGUGUGAAGAAGGUCUUCGGAUUGUAAAGCACUUUAAGUUGGGAGGAAGGGCAGUAAGCGAAUACCUUGCUGUUUUGACGUUACCGACAGAAUAAGCACCGGCUAACUCUGUGCCAGCAGCCGCGGUAAUACAGAGGGUGCAAGCGUUAAUCGGAAUUACUGGGCGUAAAGCGCGCGUAGGUGGUUCGUUAAGUUGAAUGUGAAAGCCCCGGGCUCAACCUGGGAACUGCAUCCAAAACUGGCGAGCUAGAGUAGGGCAGAGGGUGGUGGAAUUUCCUGUGUAGCGGUGAAAUGCGUAGAUAUAGGAAGGAACACCAGUGGCGAAGGCGACCACCUGGGCUCAUACUGACACUGAGGUGCGAAAGCGUGGGGAGCAAACAGG
rnacentral:rRNA from 1 species